GAUCCAUUUGCAUUCAAACAAUUAAUGUACUUAAAUGUGUAAAACUAGUUGAUUGUUUUAAUUCAUCUAUGCUACUAGUUCUCAGUUACAUAAAUAGAUUGAUUUAUAGAAUUUUAGCACAAAAAUGAAUCCUAUGAUGAGAAAAACCUAGGUUAAGUGAUGUACCCAGCAUCAACCAACUAGUUAGUGAUGAAGCCAAGAUUCCUUGACUCUUAAUCAGUUUUUUCUUCCACAGCAUACUCUUCCUGAACAAUCUUAUUAUAAUAUUAAUUUCCUUAGCAAACUUUUCAAAACCAUAAAGGUAAAUGUCAGAUGUUGUUCACCUUAAAUCAUCACAAAUUGCUGAUUAACAGAGCUCAAUUUUAAAAGAUUUAACAUGUAUAUGUGUAUGUGUAUGUGUGUCUGUGUGUGUGUAUGUAUGUGUAAAUAUAGCUCAGUUUCAGGGUUAAAAAGGACCUCAGAUGCCAACAAACACUAUCCAUAUCUAGUUCAAUCUAUGUUGUAAAUUCACAAGUGUGGCAGCCUAUUAGACUCUGUUUGAUGAACUACAGAAAGGAAGAACCCUGUAUUUCCCAAGAAAAAUCCAAAUCUGCUCACCAGUGGACAUUGACAGACACCCAUAUUGUAUGUGAAACAAAGAAUGGUGACUCAGAUACUUCAGGAAAUUCUAAAGUUGAAUGACAAGAAGAGGAAGCUGAGAAAGAAAGACUAGGAGUCAGAAGAAUUAUUUGAAUCCUUUCUAUACUAUUUACUACAUGGGAAUCUUAGUCUCCAUCACUAUUUUCUCUGCCCUAGUUUUUUCUCAUUUGUAAAGCAAGUUUUUGAUUAUUAUAGGGUGGGUUUGGACUAGAUCAAGAGUUCUUAACCUUUUGAGUUAUGACUACAUCUGGCAGUCUGAUGAAACCUAUGGAUGCUUUCUCAAGAUAAUGUUUUUUAUGCCUAAAUAAGAUCCAUAAGAUUAUAAGGAGACCAUUUAUAUUUAACUAUAUAAAUAUAAACUCACAUGCACAUUUAUAUACUGUAUACACACAUAUAAGAUGCAUGUGUAUAAAUGUGUUUGUACUUAUAUCUGCAUCUAUACACAAAAACAUACACAAGUUCAUGAACUCCAAAUUAAAAAUUCUUGGAUUAGAAAUUUCUAAUGUCAUUUUCAAUUCUCAAGUUUCCAUGCUGCUAUUAUUCUACAGAAAACCCACACCAGAAUCUUUGUCUCAUGAUCUAAGUUUUAAGGCCCAUCUCUGACCUACAUAUAUUUCUCAUGCUGUUGCCUGGAAAAUGUUUUUUUUUUCAAGUGGUCAUUGGCUUGAUGAGAAUUCCUGAAUGAUGGUACACACAGUGAGAAAAGGUAACAUGCCAUUUUCCAUGAAGUCCAGCAUGGGGGGAGAAGGGAUGGGUAGGAAACACAGCUGCUGCAAAGCUAUUGUAAUUUUAGCUUUGUAACCAGCUUUUAGAGAUGCUUAAAAAAACCAACAGGAUCUACUGAACCACAGAGGCUGCUACCUAGUCUGAGCAGUUUUUCUUUUCAAAGGCCAAAUAGAUGACAGAACCUGCAAAGGCUUGCUUAAAAAGGAGGGCUCUCAUUUUAUAGAAUCUACUGUUCUGCCCUUCAAUUUUGAGAGGGGAGAAUUAGCCAGAAUCCUACCCAACACUGAAACAAAUGGAUGUAAAACAGAAUUGGUGAAACCUUUAUGUAUCCUCCAUCUCAGUAUUUGUCAGCUCCAUUAUUUUGUAAAUUAUUUUUAAUAUUUUUGUUAAUGUUGCUUAUUUAUAAACCUAUUUAAACAAAUCCCAGAUUGCCUAAGAACCAAGAAAAGUGCAGAAAAAACACCUUGUCUUUUCACCAUUACCCUAUUGCCUCAAAUUCCCAUAAAUGUAGAAUAUUGUAUAGAAUACUAGCCCUAAGAGACAGAAAAGAACUGGGUCCUGAUCCCAUUGUUAACAUUUAUUAAUUGUGCGAUGUUGGGAAAGUUCUAUGACCUCUCUAUGUCUCAUUGCCUCAGGCACAGGAUGAUAUUUUCCCCGCCAAAAAUCAGGGGACUAGAUCAAAUGAACUUUUGAAAUCCUUUCCCCUUUUUUGUAUCUAUGAUUUGGUAGCACAUAGGGAGUUACUAGUUCAGGAAAGAAUAACUAUCUUCUCUCCCUUAGAAGUAAAUGCUGAGAAAGGAAGAAACAAGCAGUGUGUAUGUGUAAACCAGAGGGGAAAAAAAUCACAGAAUCUCAGAUCUAGAAGGAAUGUCAAAGAUCAUCUUCAACAACCUAUACCUGAAGAGAAAUUCUCUCCAAAACAUCCUCCACAAGUGUUAGGCUGUAGCAUGAAGGCCUCCAGUGAUAGAGACCUCAUGAUCUCACAAGGCAGUCUGUUGUACUUUUGUACAGUUUUGAUUGUUAGAAAAAUUUGCUAUUGAUAGAAGUACUGUACAUUCAAGAUAUUUUCCUUUAAUGAAUAGUUUGGUGUAGGAGUGCAAAAAAUCUGUCUUUUAAAUUUCUACCUUAUUUGAAUCUUGGAAGGCAAAGGUGAACAAUUCUUGUUUUUCUUCCAUAUGACAGUCUUCAAAUAUUUGAAGAAAGUGAUUCUACUAUCCUUAACUCUCUUCUCCAAGUGAAGAAUUUCAAGAACUUUUAUGUAAUAUGUAUAUAAUUCAUGUAUCAGAGAUUUUCUCAUGACUUUGUGGGCUUUUAUUCACUUUUUUUGACUUCUUCCCCUCACCCAGGAAGUAUGAAAAAUUAUUUCAUAGUAAUUGCUAUUACACAAAAAUGGAAACAGAUCACUGGUUCACUCUCCCAGGAAUCUGUCCCCACUUUUAAGCAUGCAGUUUAGUAUGUUAUAAAGACAUUAAAAGGAGUCAAACAAAACCAUCUAGUUGGAAUGAACAAAUAUUAGUUCAAAAGAAAAUAAAAUAAGUAGAUUCACUUCUGGUGGAGCCACCUGCCUUCGCUAUUUUGUGUAGAGAUAGUACCCUAUUUUGAUCCCCCCAUCUCUCUCUCUCUCUCUCUGUGUCUGUCUGUGUCUCUCUCUGUCUCCCUGUCUUUAUAUCUGUGUCUCUGUGUCUGUCUGUCUGUCUAUCUAUCUCUUUCUCUCUCUCAUCUUAAGUCUUGUAGAUUAUUGGGUUUCUAAAUACAUCUAGAAUCUUUGAAUGUCUUCUCCCUUGUGAAAGAUGAGGGCCAAAAUAUUUGCUAGUUUCAUCUGUGUGCUGCUUUUUUCCUCAACUCUGACCUUCUGUAUCUCCCCAAUUCUAGUCAUAUCUAUCAUCUUGUAUUCCCCUUGAAUAGGACAUCUAAUUUAUCCUACUUACUCAAAUGGAAAAAAAAGGGGGGAAGGAGAUACAUGUAUCUAGUCUUAGUCUUGAUCAUCCUAGUAACCCACCUUUGGCUGUAAAAUAGCCAUCUCUCCUAAAAUGUUUUGAGUCAAACCAAAAAAAUGUUCCAGAUGCGAUCUGAACCAUUACCAGUUUUUAAAAGAAUAUCACAACACUAUUAAAACAGACUAUAGUCAUGAUAUUUUUUUCUUUUAGAUGGCAUUCUUCACUUGUAUUUAUCUUACCAUGCUGUAAAACCUCUAAUUCUUUUCCAUAUGAACUGUUGUCUAGCUACUUCUCCCCUAUCGUAUACAUCGAACCUGUGUUAAACUUUAAUUUUAUUUUUAAUAAAUUUCAUCUUAUUUGUUUAGAUCCAUAAUUCUAGUGUGUGAGAUCCUUUCAGAGCUUGAUUGUCUCAUCUGUUAUUGUUUCUAUCUUUGUCAUUUGUAAUAUUGCAGAACAAUAACAUCUUUACCUUUAUCCUUAUCCCAGAUAUUGAUAAAAAUCAUGUUAAACAGCACAAAACUAAGGACCUGGAGCCUUCUAUUAGAGACUUGCUUCCAAGUUGACUUUAAAACAAUAAAAUUGAAAAAACCCAAAACAGAGGACAGAUUCAUGGGAGAGCACACCAGUGAUCUUUUUCCACUUUGACAUUAAUCUAUUAACAAAUACUUUUUGGUAGCCAUUCAACCUACACCAAAUGGAAAUAAUUGCCAUUUAGGGCACACGUUUCUAUUUUUUUAUUUCAUUUAAAAGACUUUUAUGCAGGAUAUAAAAUAAACACACACAAAUCACCAGCAUUUCUAUAUAGCACUGACAAAGCCCAUUACCAAAAGAUAUAAAGAGAAAUCCCAUUUAAAAUAACUGUAGCUAAAAUAAAAUUUUUGAGGAUCUUUCUGCCAAGAAAGACACAAGAACUAUAUGAACACAGUUACAAAACACUUCUCAUACAAAUAAAGUCAGAUCUAAACAACUGAAAAAAAAUAUCAAUUGCUCAUGGGUAGGCCAAGCUAAUAUGAUAAAAGUGGCAAUUCUGCCUAAAUUGAUCUAUAGUGCCAUAGGAAUCAAACUGCCAAAAACUUAUUUUUAGAAGUAGAAGAGGCAGUUAAAUGGUGCAGUGGAUAGAGCACCAGCCAAGUAGUCAGGAGGACCUAAGUUCAAAUCUGGCCUCAGCCAACUUAAUAUUUCAUAGCUGUGUGACCCUGGGCAAGUCAUUUAACCCCAAUUGCCUCAGGAAAAAAACCUAAAAAUAAACAAUAAUAAAAUUCAUCAGCAAGAACAAAAGGUCAACAAAAGAUGGUGACUUAGCAGUACUAAACCUAAAAUUAUAUUAUAGCAGCAGUCAUCAAAACCAUUUGGUUAAGAAAAAGAGUAUUGGAUUGGUGGAAUCAAUUAAAUGCAUAUGACACAAUAAUCAAGGCCUAUAAUAAUCUUGUAUUUAAUGACACCCAAACUCCAGGUUCUGGGAUAAGAACUCAGUAUUUGACAAAAAUUACUGGAAAACUAAGUCAGCAUUGACCUACAUCUCACACUCCAUGACAAAAUAAGGUCAAAAUGGAUACAUGAUUUGGGCAUAAAGGAUGAUACCAUAAACAAAUUAAGAGAACAAGGAAUAAUUUACCUAUCAGAUCUUUGGCGGAGGGAGGAAUUUAUGACCAAAGAUGUACUAGAGAACAUAACGAAAGGCAAAAUAGACAACUUUGAUUAUAUUAAAUUAAAAAGGUUUUGCACAAGCAUUAUAAUUCUAGAAAUAUGUAUAGAAGAAUUGGCCAUGUUUACAUAUACUGCAUUACUUGCCAUCUAUGGGAGGGAGUACGAGAAAGAGAGGGAAAACAAAAUUUGGAACACAAGGUAUUACAAAGAUGAAUAUUGCAAAUUAUUUAUGUAUAUGUUUUGAAAAUAAAAAUCUUUAAUAGUAAAAGUUUUUCACAAUCAAAUCCAACAGAAACAAGAUUAAAAGGGAAGUACAAAGCUGGGAAAAAUCUUUAUAGACAAUUUUCUAAUAAAGGUCUCAUUUCUAAAAUAUAUAAAGAAUUGUGUCAAAUUUAUAAGAAUAUAAGUCAUUCCCCAAAUGACAAACAGUGAAAGGAUAUUAACAGACAAUUUUCAGAUGACAAAAUUAAAGCCAUCUAUAGGCAUAUGGAAAAAUGCUCUAAAUCACCAUUGAUUAGAGAAAUGAAAUUAAAACAACUCUGAGAUUCCACUUCACAAUUCUCAGAUUGGCUAAAAUGGCAGGAAAAGAUAAUGAUAAAUGUUGGAGGGGAUGUGAGAAAAUUGGUACACUAAUGCAUUGCUGAUGGAGUUGUGAAAUUAUCCACCCAUUCUGGAGAGCAAUCAGAAAUUAUGGUCAAAAGACUAUCAAACUGUGCAUACCCUUUGAACUACUAGUGCCACUACUGGGUCUAUCUCCCAAGGAAAUUGUAAAGAAAGACACAGGAGCCAUAUGUGCAAAAAAUGUUUAUAGCAACUCUUUUUGUGGUAGCAAAAAAUCAAAAAUGAGUGGAUGUCCAUCACUGUGGGAAUGGUUGAAUAAGUUGUGGUAUAUGAAGAUAAUGGAAUAUUAUUGUUCUAUAAAAAAUGAUGAACAAGAUGAUUUUAGAAAAACCUGAUAAGAUUUGUAUGAACUGAUGCUGAGUGAAACAAGCAAGAUCAAGAAUACAUUGUACACAAUGACAGCAAGAAUGUGAUGUUUACUAUGAAAGACUUGGUUCUUCUCAGUGGUUCAGAGAUCCAAAGUAAUCCCAACAGACUUUAGAAAGAAAAUGCCAUCUGUAACCAGAAAAAGAUCUGUGGAGACUGAAUGUAAAUCAAUGCAUGCUAUGUUCAAUUCUUUUUUCUGAUUUUAUUUUUCUCUCCCAUGGUUUUCCUGUUUUGCUCUGAUUUUUCUCUCCUAACAUAAUUCAUAAAGC
ensembl:lncRNA